CCUCUAUUCCUGUUUUAUGUCUUCAUCUGGGGUGCCUCGUAUUCCCGCUGUCUCGAUGUUAUUUAGUCUCUGUAACGAUCUGGAUAACAGUGUACCUGGAUGCUAAAGCUAAACACGAUGUCAGUUGGAUGUAAAUAGGUUACCCGUCUGGACCCAUCCGACAUUGAAAUCAGCCAUCAGAUAUUUCUGGAGCUUGUUAUUCUGAUAAGUAAAUCAUCAUGGAUCUGGCAUUUAUGGCGGCGCAGAUUCCUGUGAUGACAGGAGCUUUCAUGGACUCAUCGCCUCACGAUGACUACAGCACAGACCACUCUCUGUUCAACUCUUCAGCCAGUGUCCACACUGCUGUUUUGGCUGCUCACAACCAGGAAGAGGAACAGCCUAUGUCCCGAGAUGCCAUCUGGCUGUGGAUCGCCAUCACCGCCACCAUCGGGAAUAUUGUUGUGUAAAGUUGCUGAAGGCUUGCAUAUCCAGUUAAACUAUGAUGAUUGUUGCAAUGUUAUGAAUCUAGGGUGAGAUAUCUCUUCUACUCUUGGGGUCAGAAAAAGGAGUAACAGCUUUGUCUGUGACAACUGUAUGUUGAAUUUACCUUAGCUGGGUCUUGCGAAGAACAUGUGGAUGACCUGCAGUUGCGAUCAGUUGCAAAUCAUUACUGCUGGAAACUGUUGCUAUGGCAGCCUCACUAUGGUGAUGGUAAUUUAACAAUUUUUAAGGAUAGACUGACAGUAAAGCAUGCAGUUAGUGUUUUGCUGGUUGUGACCACAAAUCUACAACACAAGAACUGUCGAAAAAAUAGACUUGUACCAUGUCAGAUGCAUUGAUCUCCCACAUAUUGUUUGCGUGGGAAACAAUGGAUUGUGGCUGGGUUGUAACAGAUAGAAAUAAAGGGGGCAUGUCUCCAAUUAUGCUAUAAAUCUCAAAACAGCAAGAUGAUUAAGGGUGGAAAUGAGGGUGAGCUGGACAGGGCCAGUGGAGAUAAUGGACAGCUGGGCGGGGCCAAUGGAGACAAUGGAGAGCUGGACCGGACCAGUGAAGACGAGGAUUAGCUGGACGGGCGGAGACAAUGAAAAGCUAGAUGGGACUUGCGGAGACAUUGGAGAGCUGGAGAUUUCUCAUUUUAAUUUACGUUUUAUUUUGUGCCACCACAUUUGAUCGUAUAACUACUCGUAUUAAAUAGGGAAAAGGUAAGGUAAUAACAUUUUAAUAUGACAAAAAGAUGUAGUAUCCCUUUAAGAACAUCUUAAGAAGUACUAAAGAUGAAUUUUUUGUAUAUUAAGUACAAAAUCAGUGUGUGAAAAUAAGGCACUUUAAGUACACUAUGAAAGUGUACUACUUUUUCACCUGGGAACACUAUUGCUUUAGCCCAAGUGCCGCCUUGACACGCUUAUAGGCUGAAAUGAAACCUGUUGGUAGAGUGCUGUUCCUCUCAACGUAAGAACCCCCGAGAAUGCCUAUACAGCGUUGUGCUUUCUUUCUUCAGCAUGGGUUGAAGAGGAGGCUUUCCCCCUUUACAAUCAAAGUAGAUAUUGCUGUCUCCUCUCACCAUGCUGAUAAACGGCAAAUCAGUGGGUCAACACGACCUGGUCAUUAGGUUUUUAAGAGGAGCGCGGAGACUGAAUCCCCCGCGCCCUCCUUAUUUCUCCUUGGGACCUGUCCUUGGUUCUGAAAGCCCUUCAGGAUGCUCCAUUUCGAGCCUUGAUAGUCAGUUGGCUCAAUAAAAACUCUGAUCCUGGUUGCUUUGGCCUCCGUAAAGAGGGUAUGGAACCUACAUGAAUUACUAGAUCCUGUUUUGAAAAGUCUUGGAAAAACAUGUUUAGUAUUGUUUUUGUGGUUGCCUACAUAAUAUUGUAGCCCAGUUUGUGCUGAACACAGUGUUAUGAGACUUAUGCCAUUAUUAUGUUUUUAAGCAACUGAAAAAGCACCAAUGUCAGUGCUGGUCAAAACUGCUCAAGGAUGCAAAAUCAGACCCCAGAGGGUUAAUUUUAACUAUAGAAGAGAACCAGAUAAUUAAAUUUUUUUGCGCUAUUUCCUAUUUUGACUAACAGGGUUUAAAAAAUACAAUGUCACAGGUGUGACGUAGCGAUGUACUGCAGUACAUAAUAUCUCAUCAUUAUUUAUAAAACUGCAUGUUCUUAUCCAGUGAGAACAUGUUUUUAUUUAAUUUCAUGACAGAACAAGCAUG